GGAAAGGCGAAAAGAACCCCGGCGAGGGGAGUGAAAAAGAACCUGAAACCGUGUACGUACAAGCAGUGGGAGCACGCUUAGGCGUGUGACUGCGUACCUUUUGUAUAAUGGGUCAGCGACUUAUAUUCUGUAGCAAGGUUAACCGAAUAGGGGAGCCGAAGGGAAACCGAGUCUUAACUGGGCGUUAAGUUGCAGGGUAUAGACCCGAAACCCGGUGAUCUAGCCAUGGGCAGGUUGAAGGUUGGGUAACACUAACUGGAGGACCGAACCGACUAAUGUUGAAAAAUUAGCGGAUGACUUGUGGCUGGGGGUGAAAGGCCAAUCAAACCGGGAGAUAGCUGGUUCUCCCCGAAAGCUAUUUAGGUAGCGCCUCGUGAAUUCAUCUCCGGGGGUAGAGCACUGUUUCGGCAAGGGGGUCAUCCCGACUUACCAACCCGAUGCAAACUGCGAAUACCGGAGAAUGUUAUCACGGGAGACACACGGCGGGUGCUAACGUCCGUCGUGAAGAGGGAAACAACCCAGACCGCCAGCUAAGGUCCCAAAGUCAUGGUUAAGUGGGAAACGAUGUGGGAAGGCCCAGACAGCCAGGAUGUUGGCUUAGAAGCAGCCAUCAUUUAAAGAAAGCGUAAUAGCUCACUGGUCGAGUCGGCCUGCGCGGAAGAUGUAACGGGGCUAAACCAUG
rnacentral:rRNA from 1 species